rnacentral:rRNA from 1 species
GAUGAACGCUGGCGGCAUGCCUAAUACAUGCAAGUCGAGCGAACGGACGAGAAGCUUGCUUCUCUGAUGUUAGCGGCGGACGGGUGAGUAACACGUGGAUAACCUACCUAUAAGACUGGGAUAACUUCGGGAAACCGUAGCUAAUACCGGAUAAUAUUUUGAACCGCAUGGUUCAAAAGUGAAAGACGGUCUUGCUGUCACUUAUAGAUGGAUCCGCGCUGCAUUAGCUAGUUGGUAAGGUAACGGCUUACCAAGGCAACGAUGCAUAGCCGACCUGAGAGGGUGAUCGGCCACACUGGAACUGAGACACGGUCCAGACUACUACGGGAGGCAGCAGUAGGGAAUCUUCCGCAAUGGGCGAAAGCCUGACGGAGCAACGCCGCGUGAGUGAUGAAGGUCUUCGGAUCGUAAAACUCUGUUAUUAGGGAAGAACAUAUGUGUAAGUAACUGUGCACAUCUUGACGGUACCUAAUCAGAAAGCCACGGCUAACUACGUG